GAUGAACGCUAGCGGCAGGCCUAAUACAUGCAAGUCGAACGAUAUUAAGGGGCUUGCUCCUUAAGAAAGUGGCGCACGGGUGCGUAACGCGUAUGCAACCUACCUUAAUCAGGGGGAUAGCCCGAAGAAAUUCGGAUUAACACCGCAUAAAAACACAGGAUAGCAUUAUCCAAUGUUCAAAUAUUUAUAGGAUUAAGAUGGGCAUGCGUGUCAUUAGCUAGUUGGCGGGGUAACGGCCCACCAAGGCGACGAUGACUAGGGGAUCUGAGAGGAUGACCCCCCACACUGGUACUGAGACAAGGACCAGACUCCUACGGGAGGCAGCAGUAAGGAAUAUUGGUCAAUGGAGGCAACUCUGAACCAGCCAUGCCGCGUGCAGGAAGACUGCCCUAUGGGUUGUAAACUGCUUUUAUCCGGGAAUAAACCUUUCUACGUGUAGGAAGCUGAAUGUACCGGAAGAAUAAGGAUCGGCUAACUCCGUGCCAGCAGCCGCGGUAACAC
rnacentral:rRNA from 1 species